UACGGGGGGGGCGAGCGUUAUUCGGAAUUAUUGGGCGUAAAGGGCGCGUAGGCGGCCUAGUAAGUCAAAGGUGAAAUCCCUCGGCUUAACCGAGGAACUGCCUUUGAUACUGCUAGCUUGAGGCCGGGAGGGGGUAGCGGAAUUCCCAGUGUAGCGGUGAAAUGCGUAGAUAUGGGAGGAACAUCAGUGGCGAAGGCGGCUACCUGGCCCAAUACUGACACUCAGGUGCGACAGCGUGGGGAGCAAACAGG
rnacentral:rRNA from 1 species